rnacentral:tRNA from 1 species
GCUCGGGUGGCGAAAUUGGCAGACGCGCUAGGUUGAGGGCCUAGUGGCCUUUAUUGGCCUUCGGGGUUCAAGUCCCCGCCCGAGCACCA